rnacentral:rRNA from 1 species
AACGAACGCUGGCGGCAGGCCUAACACAUGCAAGUCGAACGCCCUAGCAAUAGGGAGUGGCAGACGGGUGAGUAACACGUGGGAACGUGCCCUUCGGUUCGGAAUAACUUAGGGAAACUUGAGCUAAUACCGGAUACGUGCGAGAGCAGAAAGAUUUAUCGCCGAAGGAUCGGCCCGCGUCCGAUUAGCUAUUUGGUGAGGUAAUGGCUCACCAAGGCGACGAUCGGUAGCUGGUCUGAGAGGAUGACCAGCCACACUGGGACUGAGACACGGCCCAGACUCCUACGGGAGGCAGCAGUGGGGAAUAUUGGACAAUGGGCGCAAGCCUGAUCCAGCCAUGCCGCGUGAGUGAUGAAGGCCCUAGGGUUGUAAAGCUCUUUCGCCAGGGACGAUAAUGACGGUACCUGGAUAAGAAGCCCCGGCUAACUUCGUGCCAGCAGCCGCAGUAA